rnacentral:rRNA from 1 species
CCUGUUUAACAAAAACAUCGUCUUUUGAUAAUUUAUAUAAAAGAUAAUGCCUGCCCAGUGAAAACUUUUAAACGGCCGCGUUAGCGUGAGCGUGCUAAGGUAGCGUAAUAAAUAGCCUUUCAAUUGGAGGCCAGUGAAUGGCAAGACUAGGGAUAUCUGUACCCUGUAUAGAAAAACAACUUUUCAUUCGGGUGAAAAGACCCGUAUAAUAAAGGAAGACGAAAAGACCCCGCGGAACUUUACCUUUUCCAGUAUCCAUAUGCUCAGAAACACAAAAACAUAAAGGUUUGAUUGGGGCAAUCUCGGAACAAACCAAACUUCCGACUUACAAUAU